ACCCAGCUGACGAGUGCUGUAUAGGACGAAACACGCGUCCUGGAU
rfam:Schistosoma margrebowiei strain Zambia genome assembly, scaffold: SMRZ_contig0006899